rnacentral:lncRNA from 1 species
GGUCAGAGAUGAAUGGGUGCUGCCAUGGUGAACAACACAAAUGUCAUCUGGGCUGGCUGAACCUCUACCCCCCAACCUCCUCAUGUCGUCGAAGAAAGUGGAGCUAAUUUCCCUUGGAACUUGGGAAAAUUAACAUCCACACGGGUAGUAGAUAUGCCUUUGCCACAGCCCACAUUCACAAGACUAUAUACCAAAAGAGAGGACUGCUCACAUCAGAGGGAAAAGAAAACAGGAAAUCUUGGAUCUCUUGGAUGCCCUGAUGAAGCCAGCAACUGGGUUUGCAUUCCAGAGAACAUGCGUUCCUAGAUCAUCUAUUUAAAGCUACCUGAACAUCUGAGUUGUCCCAACAGUACCU